rnacentral:rRNA from 1 species
UACAGAGGUGGCAAGCGUUGUUCGGAAUUACUGGGCGUAAAGGGCGCGUAGGCGGCCUUCUAAGUCAGACGUGAAAUCCCCCGGCUUAACCUGGGAACUGCGUCUGAUACUGGGAGGCUAGAGUGCGGGAGAGGGAUGCGGAAUUCCAGGUGUAGCGGUGAAAUGCGUAGAUAUCUGGAGGAACACCGGUGGCGAAGGCGGCAUCCUGGACCAACACUGACGCUGAGGAGCGAAAGCCAGGGGAGCAAACAGG